rnacentral:rRNA from 1 species
GCAUGCUACGGUGAAUACGUUCCCGGGUCUUGUACACACCGCCCGUCACACCACGAGAGUUUGUAACACCCGAAGCCGGUGGAGUAACCUUUUAGGAGCUAGCCGUCGAAGGUGGGACAAAUGAUUGGGGUGAAGUCGUAACAAGGUAGCCGUAUCGGAAGGUGCGGCUGGAUCACCUCCUUU